rnacentral:rRNA from 1 species
GACGUAGGGCGCGAGCGUUGUCCGGAUUUAUUGGGCGUAAAGAGCUCGUAGGCGGCUUGUCGCGUCGACUGUGAAAACCCGCGGCUUAACUGUGGGCUUGCAGUCGAUACGGGCAGGCUAGAGUUCGGUAGGGGAGACUGGAAUUCCUGGUGUAGCGGUGAAAUGCGCAGAUAUCAGGAGGAACACCGGUGGCGAAGGCGGGUCUCUGGGCCGAUACUGACGCUGAUGCGCGAAAGCCAGGGGAGCAAACGGG